rnacentral:rRNA from 1 species
AGGAAUAUUGGUCAAUGGGCGAGAGCCUGAACCAGCCAAGUAGCGUGAAGGAUGACUGCCCUAUGGGUUGUAAACUUCUUUUAUAAAGGAAUAAAGUCGGGUAUGCAUACCCGUUUGCAUGUACUUUAUGAAUAAGGAUCGGCUAACUCCGUGCCAGCAGCCGCGGUAAUACGGAGGAUCCGAGCGUUAUCCGGAUUUAUUGGGUUUAAAGGGAGCGUAGAUGGAUGUUUAAGUCAGUUGUGAAAGUUUGCGGCUCAACCGUAAAAUUGCAGUUGAUACUGGAUAUCUUGAGUGCAGUUGAGGCAGGCGGAAUUCGUGGUGUAGCGGUGAAAUGCUUAGAUAUCACGAAGAACUCCGAUUGCGAAGGCAGCCUGCUAAGCUGCAACUGACAUUGAGGCUCGAAAGUGUGGGUAUCAAACAGGAUUAGAUACCCUGGUAGUCCACACGGUAAACGAUGAAUACUCGCUGUUUGCGAUAUACGGCAAGCGGCCAAGCGAAAGCGUUAAGUAUUCCACCUGGGGAGUACGCCGGCAACGGUGAAACUCAAAGGAAUUGACGGGGGCCCGCACAAGCGGAGGAACAUGUGGUUUAAUUCGAUGAUACGCGAGGAACCUUACCCGGGCUUAAAUUGCAGACGAAUUACUUGGAAACAGGUAAGCCGCAAGGCGUCUGUGAAGGUGCUGCAUGGUUGUCGUCAGCUCGUGCCGUGAGGUGUCGGCUUAAGUGCCAUAACGAGCGCAACCCUCGUGGCCAGUUACUAGCAGGUAACGCUGAGGACUCUGGCCAGACUGCCAUCGUAAGAUGCGAGGAAGGUGGGGAUGACGUCAAAUCAGCACGGCCCUUACGUCCGGGGCUACACACGUGUUACAAUGGGAGGUACAGAAGGCAGCUACCCGGCGACGGGAUGCCAAUCUCCAAAGCCUCUCUCAGUUCGGACUGGAGUCUGCAACCCGACUCCACGAAGCUGGAUUCGCUAGUAAUCGCGCAUCAGCCACGGCGCGGUGAAUACGUUCCCG